rnacentral:rRNA from 1 species
UACGGAGGGUGCAAGCGUUGUCCGGAAUCACUGGGCGUAAAGAGCUCGUAGGCGGUCUGUCGCGUCUGCUGUGAAAACUCGGGGCUUAACCCCGGGCCUGCAGUGGGUACGGGCAGACUAGAGUGCGGUAGGGGAGACUGGAAUUCCUGGUGUAGCGGUGAAAUGCGCAGAUAUCAGGAGGAACACCGGUGGCGAAGGCGGGUCUCUGGGCCGUAACUGACGCUGAGGAGCGAAAGCGUGGGGAGCGAACAGG